rnacentral:rRNA from 1 species
GAGUUUGAUCCUGGCUCAGAUUGAACGCUGGCGGCAUGCCUUACACAUGCAAGUCGAACGGCAGCACGGGAGCUUGCUCCUGGUGGCGAGUGGCGAACGGGUGAGUAAUGCAUCGGAACGUAUCCUGGAGUGGGGGAUAACGUAGCGAAAGUUACGCUAAUACCGCAUAUUCUGUGAGCAGGAAAGCGGGGGACCUUCGGGCCUCGCGCUCUUGGAGCGGCCGAUGUCGGAUUAGCUAGUUGGUGAGGUAAAGGCUCACCAAGGCGACGAUCCGUAGCAGGUCUGAGAGGAUGAUCUGCCACACUGGAGCUGAGACACGGUCCAGACUCCUACGGGAGGCAGCAGUGGGGAAUUUUGGACAAUGGGGGCAACCCUGAUCCAGCCAUGCCGCGUGAGUGAAGAAGGCC